GGGAUUUAUUAGCGCACGUUAAAUCUUGCGUUUGUCCACAUUGUCAUUUGUGUACGUCAUUUAUUUUUAGCUACACAUUUCUGAUUAUUGCAACAACAACAAAAACACAAGAUCCGUUUUAACACAAUUCACAGGCUCACUGAAAACAAUUGAGGACUGCAGACAAAAAUAUAAAUAUUGUAAGACGUGGACGAAGUUGGUAUUUGUAUUAACAGCUGAGCCUGCAGUGCAAGCAGGCUAACUAACCUGAAGCGUAGCUAGCUUCUCUAAACGGCGUUAUUCACAGGAAAAUCUGAAUCUGUUCAGCAACUACAAAAAGAAAAAUGACUUCAGCCUCAACGAAGGUUGGGGAGAUCUUCUCAGCAGCAGGAGCUGCUUUCACCAAGUUAGGGGAGCUGACCAUGCAACUGCACCCCGUAGCUGACUCCAGUCCCGCAGGAGCUAAGUGGACGGACACUGAGAUUGGGCAGCUGAGAUCGGCCGUGGUGAGGUUUGGUGAUGACCUGAACUCCCUCAGCGCUGUCAUCAAGGAACGCACCGUGGUCCAGAUUAAAAGUACAGUGAAGAGGAAGCUCUAUGACGAGACUGGGAUGCCCAUUUCCACCGACUCCCCAAAAAAGACCGCCAAGAAGACUGCGGUUACCAUGGCCACCACGGCAACCCCAACUGUCAUUGCUGUGCCGACCUCACAGGUUGUCAUGAAGGCAGGUGUCCAGGGAAAUGUGACUCUGGCCAUUCCCACCAUGAAGAAACCGAAGUCUGCAGCAGAUGUGACUCUGAGUGCUCUGAAUGACUCUGAUGUCAACUCUGACCUGGUAGACAUAGAGGGACUGGGAGAGGGAUCCAACUCCAAGAAACUCAACUUCGAUCAGGGGUCUACAGACAAUCACGGACUACAAAGGAAAAACCAGCCAUGUUGCGGACAUCGUCUUGUUUCCGGACAAGCUAAACACCUUCGCCCGCUUUGAGGAUAAUACAGUGCCACCGACACGGCCCGUUACCAAGGACUGUGGGCUCUCCUUCUCCGUGGCCGACACAACCUGAACCUCGACUCCAGCUUCAUUAUGAACUCGUGACCUGCCGCUCCGACCAAGAUGUUUUCAUUAGCACCCUAUUUCCUACAUAGUGCACUACUUUUGACUGGAGCCUUAUGGACCCUGGUCAAAUGUAAUCCACUAAAUAGGGAUUAGAGUGCAAUUUGAGACGCAGCCCCCGACAUCUAUGGACAACAGCCGAGAUCCUUCAGAUUUGAUUUGGCAGAUCUCUACGGGUGCAUCUGAAAUGGCACCUUAUUCCCUGCUUUUUUAGCCAAGGCCUAUGAGGGGUGCAAAUUUCUCUUGCAUGAGGAAUGUGUUGGAUGUAAAUAAUGGUAUUUUUAUUUAUUCAUACAUGAUUGAUUUGUACUACACAAAAAGCUAAUGUGCAGAGCUGCAUGGCCAAGGACUAGUGUGAAAAUUUUGCCAUCUUGGUUUAUGUCAACUAUAUGUGGCCCUGCAAAUUCCCAUUUGACAAUGCUGCAACUGCAAACUGUUGUUUCCGGAAUCAUGUACUUGUGAACCCAGUGUUGAGCUCACCAGCAAAUUAAACUGGUAUUUGAAAAGCAUACUGGCUAAUAUAGAUGAACACAAUUGUAUCAAAGGACAGGAAUUAGUUUAGUGCCGUUUUCUGUUUGAAACAGUGGAUUAUCUUAUUGUUCAAAACAUGACCCAUGUAAUUUUGGGGGGAAAUAUUUCUCGGUAAGUUACUGACAAACAUUUGUAGUUUUAUAUAGAGGCGUACUCUAAAGACAAUCAAAUGACCUGUGCGAUUUGCUGAAUUAAUUAUGUUGAAUAAAUUGACAAAUUACCAACUAGAAUUUUA